GUCCCAGUGGCUCAAUGGUCUACGAGCUUGCUUUGUAAGCAGAAGGUCCUGGGUUCGAAUCCCAGUGGGUGCA
rnacentral:tRNA from 1 species